CUUGCUUCAGCACCUUAAUGUCUUUCUUGUAGUGAGGGGCCCAGAACUGGACACAGUACUCAAGGUGUGCCCUCACCAGUGCUGGGUACAGAGGAACAAUCACUUCCUGAGUUGAAUAUUAGAUGUUAGGUCUGGAGUCCUUCCAGUGGUAUUUUUAUAGGAAAGGUACCACAUUUUCAAUUCCACAAAUCUUUGCCAUAAUGAAUGAUUGUAAUUCUCAUGUACAAAUUGUCACUGGUUGGCUUACCCAUCUGGUCUUUCUCUUCUUCAUUUUAUGUUACUAUUAAAAUGUAUACUUCUUUUGUGCUGUCUGAACUGCAGGCACCUUCUUGUACUUUACUAUUCAAAUGUAGUCUUUAAUUCACACAUCUCUUAACUCUGUAGUGGGCUAAAGUUUCCAGUUAAAGACUUGAAAAAUCCUUUUGCAUUGUUUCAAAAUUUGUCUUAAUUCACUGAAAACAGUUUGGUUUCAACUGGGUACCCAAGAAACUGUCUUUUCUUGUGAGCCUCAGAAACAUGCUUCCAAAAAGCAAUCAUGGAAGUGUGGAGAAACUUCUUUAACUGGCAGUAUUUGAUCAGUUUCUUGCACCCAAUGAACAGCAGAGGGAGCCAAUGUACUAAAAAGCUGCAGAAGAAUUGUAACCCGCACUUUAAGGGCUAUGAGCUCUGAUUCUUCAGUAAUGCCAGAGCCGAAUGUCCCUACUGACACAACAUGCUUGAGUUACGCUGAAGUUGAUGGCAUAGCUUUAAAUUUUACUCCAGCUUCAGAUCUUCCCUGAAAAGUACAGCUCCCUUUCCUGCAUGGCUGCAACAGUACCCUGCAGAAACCAGGUCUCAUACACACUUGACAAAAAGGAGGACAGCCUCUACUAAUCUUCCAGGUGGGUGUAAUUUUCUUUCUACUGUGUUAACAUUUCCAAACAUCCUUUCUUUCUCACCUUAGGGUUACAGAUUUGGGUUUUUUAAGAACAGCACAGGGUCUUAGGGUCACUAAGAACAGUGAUUCCUUAGCUAGUCUUUAGAUUUUUCCAGGUCUUUCUUGGGCAAUGCAAUCACUCCUUUGCUUAAAAGAGUUGAGAUCCUCAUUUUCUGUAAGCUCUUCUAAGUUUGGGGGAAUGUUGUUGUUUUUUUUUUCUUCUAGGUUGUUUGCUUGUUAUUCAUUUGUUCAUUAUUUGUUCAUUUGUUUUGCAAGAGGUAAGAGGUUUUAAUUUAGAGAGUCUCUGGCCCAGCCAGCCCCUUCCUCAUGGGAGAAGAAUAUAACAUAAUCACAAAGGCUUUCCUUUUUUUAUUUCCAUUUGUCUAACUGCUUGAAGUUGGUCCUGAGGGACUUCAAAUACAGGGUAUUUGUUGGAUAAGUAUUUCUUAUUACUUCAUCUGCAGAAGUUCACUUCAUUGGUGCACAUCAUAUGCUCAAUUUCUCUUUAUUUAUGGACCUAAUGUAAUAAGAGAGCUUGUAACUUCACUGAAAAUAAUAGUAAAUAUCAAGUGUGUGCUUUAUGACAGCACUCAACAUCAAAAGGUUUCAGAGGCAGAUUUCUUAACUUUCAGUAGCACAGUUGCAUAAGUCUAAAUAAAAGCUUUAUGGUAGCAUGAUGAGAAUUUCUAACUUUGAGUUUCAUAUUAGAAUGAGCAAAUAUUAAUGAAAUUCUGAAAUGUUUGAUCCUCUGGUGACCCAUCCUGCUUUCCUUUGCUGUCUACAGCUAUUACAGAUACAUGUCUCCAGAGAAUCGAAUAAAUGGUUGCAGUCAUUGCUAAAAUAUUCAGCCAGAAGAUGUUUGGUUUAAGCUAUUUUUAAUGGAGUACCUGCAUAAACACAAUCCCUUGUUCAUUUUUCUUUUAUUUUUGUUCAACUGAGGCCCUUCUCUCACACACACAUGCAGGGUAGCAUAGGAAAGAGAGGGGCUUGUGAACUUUGACUGUUAUGUAGAGCUCUUUCCCAUAGCUCUGGAUAUACUCCAUAUGGGUGAGACUCUCUCUUUGUCCUGUGACUUGUUCAUGCCUGCAGUUUCUUUCCAGCCACCAAGGAGGAGACCUUCUCCCUUUUCAUGAAGCCACCUUUUAAAGGAAGACCUGUUGUUUUGUUACCUAAGCCUAUAUUUUCCAGUAAAUGUAGAUGGAAUCAAUCUGAGUUUUUACAGUCUUGUGACUGUCUCUGAAACUGUUUCUUUGCAAGUUUUCAGUGGUGCAGGCUUUUUAUUUUACAAGUAGAAGAAGAGCUUUAACUACUCUCAGGAAUGGUAUGCACUUAAAAUUUUAAAAUUGUAUGCUUCAAACUUUCUAAAUGUGGGCAAAUACACAUUUCUUUAAAAUUUGCAAGUAGGUGGAUUUUUUUCUGUCUUGCCAAGCUUUGUAGGAAUUACACAGUGCUACAAGCAAUUUGUAAGUAUUUUAUAGACUUUGGUGAGUUCACAAAUGCUACAGCUUUCCUCUUACACUUUAAUAUAUAUAUGAGACUGAAUCUGCCAAUAUAUGUCUCAUUGCAGAAAAUGCAAGUACCAGGAGGUCUACACAAGGUGUACGAAGCAUGCCAGAGAUGUGAACUUAACAGUUUCUUUCCUGUCAGUUUCAGGAAAACCAAGGUGUUAAAAAAUUGUAGGUGUCAACUAGAAAUUAAUGUGGCCAUGUGUCUCACACGUCUGCCUGAAGCUUGGCUCUUAUACCCCAACUUUGUUAGAAAGAGUUUACUCUCCAUAUUUGCCUUGUUUUUAUUUCCCUGCCACAAUGACCAAAAUUAAAACUUAAUCUAAGAGAAUUUCAUGUGUAUACUACUGCAUCUCAAUAGGGGCUUUCAAGGCUGGUGUGUACGUAUGUAUAUAUAUAUAUAUAUACAUAUAUAUAUAUAUAUAUAUAUAUAUGAAGGUUUGGGCUUUUGUUUUUCAUCUUUGAUUGCUUCUAUGGAUUACUUCCUGAAUUGUUCCUCUGUAGCUUCAAAGUUUGGCUCAGAAAAGCUCACAGGCCAAUAUUUGUAUUCCUUGUUUGAAUUCCAUGUUAUGGAAGACAUAGCAGAGGCAGCCCAGUAAUUAAAAAGAAGUGAAUGUUUUGCUGAUGUUGCCUUGAAUCUCAUGCAACAAGAAAAGCUGAUUUGAUGACUGAAGCAACUGUGGUUAAAAAGAUAUCCUAUAUGUGGAAUCCUAGAUUUAUGUCCUAGAAGGAUCAACUCUUCAUCCUACAUUUGUCCAGCAUUAAAUAGUCUGUUCAGAAAGAGCUUGUCUACAGUGAAUGGAUGAGGAACCUCGCCCUACCCCCAGCCAGUUCCUUCUGAAAGAGU